rnacentral:tRNA from 1 species
CGAGACCGCAAACUCGAAKAAGCACCUCGAAGGGUGCCGGGGCUUCUCCCGUUU